GUAUUUAUAAAAUAAUUUACCAGAGUUAGGUUUCCAGCUUUAUGGAGAAAACAAGGUUUAUCAUAGGCAAACAGAUGGUUUCCUGAAAUUAUUAUCUUUUUCUCUGUUCAAAAGACACAGUAAUAGGAUAUCAGCAGUCCCUGGCGAGUUCAGGACAAACCUGCUCAAGAUUAACAAGCAGAGAAGCUAUCCUUAUAUUACAGAGAUCCUCAAAAGCUGAAAAAAGACUUUUCAUAUGCAACCAUUCUCUUGAGCCUCUGACAUCAGGACAUCAGGAGCUGUUUCAGCUGCUACCAUCACCUAUGAAUCUCCCAGGACAAUUUCAGAAAAACAUGUUUUUACCAGAGGAUGCAGUUGGUAGCAGGGCUCGUCAGCUGGGGCAGUGCUGAUGAUUCUGAGGAGAAGCCAGGACAGCAAAGGUGAGACUGUGGUUCCAGCCCUGGGCUGUGUCUGCCUCUGAGGGG
rnacentral:lncRNA from 1 species